GUUAGGAAUAUUGGACAAUGGGCGAAAGCCUGAUCCAGCCAUGCCGCGUGAACGAUGAAGGCCUUCGGGUUGUAAAGUUCUUUAGCCGAUGAUUAUAAUGACUGUAGUCGGAAAAUAAGCCCCGGCUAACUUCGUGCCAGCAGCCGCGGUAAUACGAAGGGGGCGAGCGUUAUUCGGAAUCACUGGGCGUAAAGCGUGCGUAGGCGGUUUUGUAAGUUAGGAGUGAAAGCCCAGGGCUCAACCUUGGAAUUGCUCUUAAAACUGCAAGGCUCGAAUCUCGGAGAGGAUAGCGGAAUUUCCAGUGUAGCAGUGAAAUGCGUAGAUAUUAGAAGGAACACCAGUGGCGUAAGCGGCUAUCUGGACGAGUAUUGACGCUGAGGCACGAAAGCGUGGGGAUCAAACAGGAUUAGAUACCCUGGUAGUCC
rnacentral:rRNA from 1 species